UUUAGGUAGCGCCUCGUGAAUUCAUCUCCGGGGGUAGAGCACUGUUUCGGCAAGGGGGUCAUCCCGACUUACCAACCCGAUGCAAACUGCGAAUACCGGAGAAUGUUAUCACGGGAGACACACGGCGGGUGCUAACGUCCGUCGUGAAGAGGGAAACAACCCAGACCGCCAGCUAAGGUCCCAAAGUCAUGGUUAAGUGGGAAACGAUGUGGGAAGGCCCAGACAGCCAGGAUGUUGGCUUAGAAGCAGCCAUCAUUUAAAGAAAGCGUAAUAGCUCACUGGUCGAGUCGGCCUGCGCGGAAGAUGUAACGGGGCUAAACCAUGCACCGAAGCUGCGGCAGCGACGCUGAUGCGUUGUUGGGUAGGGGAGCGUUCUGUAAGCCUGUGAAGGUGUGCUGUGAGGCAUGCUGGAGGUAUCAGAAGUGCGAAUGCUGACAUAAGUAACGAUAAAGCGGGUGAAAAGCCCGCUCGCCGGAAGACCAAGGGUUCCUGUCCAACGUUAAUCGGGGCAGGGUGAGUCGACCCCUAAGGCGAGGCCGAAAGGCGUAGUCGAUGGGAAACAGGUUAAUAUUCCUGUACUUGGUGUUACUG
rnacentral:rRNA from 1 species